GACGAACGCUGGCGGCGUGCCUAAUACAUGCAAGUAGAACGCUGAAGCGAGGAGCUUGCUCUUCUUGGAUGAGUUGCGAACGGGUGAGUAACGCGUAGGUAACCUGCCUUGUAGCGGGGGAUAACUAUUGGAAACGAUAGCUAAUACUGCAUAACAAUGGAUGACACAUGUCACUUAUUUGAAAGGGACAUUUGCUCCACUACAAGAUGGACCUGCGUUGUAUUAGCUAGUAGGUGAGGUAACGGCUCACCCAGGCGACGAUACAUAGCCUGCCUGAGAGGGUGAUCGGCCACACUGGGACUGAGACACGGCCCAGACUCCUUCGGGGAGCAGCAGUAGGGAAUCUUCGGCAAUGGGGGCAACCCUGACCGAGCAACGCCGGGUGAGGGAAGAAGGGUUUCGGAUCGUAAAGCUCUGUUGUAAGUCAAGAACGAGUGUGAGAGUGGAAAGUUCACGCUGUGACGGUAGCUUACCAGAAAGAGACGGCUAACUACGUG
rnacentral:rRNA from 1 species